CAGUCGCCGCGGUAAUGCGUAGGUGGCAAACGUUGUCCGGAAUUAUUGGGCGUAAAGGGCUCGCAGGCGGUUUCUUAAGUCUGAUGUGAAAGCCCCCGGCUCAACCGGGGAGGGUCAUUGGAAACUGGGAAACUUGAGUGCAGAAGAGGAGAGUGGAAUUCCACGUGUAGCGGUGAAAUGCGUAGAGAUGUGGAGGAACACCAGUGGCGAAGGCGACUCUCUGGUCUGUAACUGACGCUGAGGAGCGAAAGCGUGGGGAGCGAACAGGAUUAGAUACCCGCGUAGCCCUGUCUCUUAUACA
rnacentral:rRNA from 1 species